AUUUUUGUGUGGUUUGUGCAGCACCAGUCCAAGAUCAAGUCUCUGACAGACUACAUGCAGAACAUGGAGCAGAAGAAGAGACAGCAGGAGGAGAGCCAGGACGCUCUGACAGAGGAGCUCGCUAAGCUGCAGGCUCACGAGAAAAGACACAAGAUGUCAGGAGAGGAGAAGGAGAAGGAGGACAUCGGCAGACACGAUGGGGACGGGGACUUAAAGGUGAGGAGGAAACAAAUGUGAAAUAGCUGAAUGUUUUUGUGUCUGUGUGGCACAGAAAACUCUGGAGGAGCAGCUGGAGAACCACAGAGAGGCUCACCGCAAACAGCUGAGCCCACUGAGAGACCAGAUCGAAGACGAGCAGAGGAUGCUGGACGAGCUCACAGAACAGUUACUCUGCCAUUAAAAAGUGCCCAAUCAGAGCUUAGCGAGCAUCUCCUCUCAGUCUGAACCAGGGUCUGCUGCUGGAGCAGGAGAGGCCGAUGUCAGACUACAACAAACUGAA